rnacentral:lncRNA from 1 species
GAGAGAGAGAGAGAAAUGCAGGCCAGAACUAAAUAUUUGCAAACCUAAACCAAUACAGCACAUGAAUAAACAUGUCUUCCAAUCUAACUGACAAAAUUAUAGAUUUUACAAUAAUUUGAUCUAGUUUUACCUUUAAAAAAUUAAAUCCAUUUUCAUCACAAAAAUUCAAAUAAAUUACCGCAAGAUUGUCAAUAGGCUCUUUGAAUUGGGAAAAGGAAAAAGAAAAAUAACACAAGUAGUGAUAUCUCGCACCUGACCAGGAAACAGAAAUGCACAAGUGGGCUCGUAAUCCGAAAAUAAGGUAUCAUCAACCACCGUGGGAGCGGAAACUGAAGUACUCAUCGAAAUUCUCGAUCUUGAUAUAGCUCCAGGUAAUUUCUUGAGUAAUCCAUGUCUCAAGCCAGAGAAACCUUGAAAGUUGAUGCUCUUAAGGCACUCUACAUUGCAACUUCUUGUAGAAGAAACCAGAGAAAGCUUGGGCGAUGCAGAUUGAAUCCUGCAAAUUGCAGACGCAGAGGAGAUCGAAGAACACAUCUCAGAGAGAUUAAGAGAGAGAAUGAAAUUUUAGAGAGAGAGAGUGCAAAUUUGCAGGGAACAGAGAGAAUUUAAGAUCGGUAAGAGAAAAAUGGAGUAUUAUUUCUAGAGAGAGAAAUAAAGUAUUCUUUGUAGUGAGAGAAAUGGGAUUUGAGAGAAGCUUUGAGUUGGAGACUCAAAAGUAGACAGAAGAGGAGCAGAGUAAGUAAUGCAGAGGGAGUGACGGAGUUUCUG